rnacentral:rRNA from 1 species
UACGUAGGGGCCGAGCGUUGUUCCGGAGUUAUUGGGCGUAAAGCGCGCGCAGGCGGCCUCGCGCGCCCGACGUGAAACGCCCCCGGCUUAACCCGGGGGAGGGUCCGGUUGGGGGACGGCGGGGCUGAGGGCGGGAGAGGUCGGUGGAAUUCCCGGUGUAGUGGUGAAAUGCGUAGAGAUCGGGAGGAACACCUGUGGCGAAGGCGGCCGACUGGGCCGAC